UACGUAGGGCGCAAGCGUUAUCCGGAAUUAUUGGGCGUAAAGAGCUCGUAGGCGGUUUGUCGCGUCUGCCGUGAAAGUCCGGGGCUCAACUCCGGAUCUGCGGUGGGUACGGGCAGACUAGAGUGAUGUAGGGGAGACUGGAAUUCCUGGUGUAGCGGUGAAAUGCGCAGAUAUCAGGAGGAACACCGGUGGCGAAGGCGGGUCUCUGGGCCGUAACUGACGCUGAGGAGCGAAAGCAUGGGGAGCGAACCGG
rnacentral:rRNA from 1 species